CGUUUUACAGGGAACCAAAUUGCAAAAAUUUACCAGCAGAACCCCGAGGCCUACUCACAUACGGAGAGAAUUUCUUUGGUCAGUAGCUUUGCUGCUUCCCUGUUCCUUGGCUCUUACUCCCCUAUUGACUACAGUGAUGGUUCUGGAAUGAAUUUGUUGCAGAUACAGGAUAAAGUCUGGUCCCAGGCUUGCCUUGGUGCCUGUGCACCUCAUUUAGAGGAGAAGCUUAGCCCACCAGUACCAUCAUGCUCAGUUGUGGUAGGUCUCCUUUCUGGUGAUGUGGCUCAUUUAAGAGCUGGCAGCUACCAGGGAAGCACUGUAGCGCACACACACACACACACACACACACACUCUGCACACACCCU
rnacentral:lncRNA from 1 species